rnacentral:misc_RNA from 1 species
GCCUAAUAAUGCAUCAAACGCAAGCAACCCACAAUACAAUUUACAAGAAUCAGAAUGGGCCGGGUCGUCUCCACCAUUCUACUUUGCAAAAACAACUGAACAGCCACACAAGACGGACGAUCUGCGACGGGACGGAUGGGGGUACAGCUCUAAGAGAGCGUGCUGGGGAGGAAAGAAAUGCACAGAUAUUUACACCUCUUCUUCUGCACACGACGAAGGAAGGUCAGGCAGUGAAGGAGCUCGGCUCCUCGCUGUAGACUGUCUCGCUGGCACCGAACACGGGCUUCUCCUCCUCCCACUUGACGACCUCCCGCCCGUAGCGGAUCGCCGACCGGACGGACUCCUGGUCCAGAGCGUUCACGUACGACACGUAGAGCUUCCGCCCCGUCAUCGACUCGAACAGCCUCUUGAACUUGGUCGCCAUGUAGUGCGCAGCCAUCUGGGGCAGUGUCGCGCCGGUGCUGCUGCGCGCAGUCCUGCGGCCGCCGCCGCCACCGCCGUUGAGGAGGUUGCGGCUGAUCAGGGGAGUGAAGUCGCUGAACCAAUCGCACGAGGUCAGCGGGGAACUGCUGAUCUUCUGCUCU